rnacentral:rRNA from 1 species
AACGAACGCUGGCGGCAGGCUUAACACAUGCAAGUCGAGCGCCCCGCAAGGGGAGCGGCAGGCGGGUGUGUAACGCGUGGGAACGUACCUUUUGGUUCGGAACAACUCCGGGAAACUGGAGCUAAUACCGGAUAAGCCCUAACGGGGAAAGAUUUAUCGCCGAAGGAUCGGCCCGCGUCUGAUUAGCUAGUUGGUGUGGUAACGGCUCACCAAGGCGACGAUCAGUAGCUGGUCUGAGAGGAUGAUCAGCCACACUGGGACUGAGACACGGCCCAGACUCCUACGGGAGGCAGCAGUGGGGAAUAUUGGACAAUGGGCGCAAGCCUGAUCCAGCCAUGCCGCGUGAGUGAUGAAGGCCUUAGGGUUGUAAAGCUCUUUUGUCCGGGAAGAUAAUGACUGUACCGGAAGAAUAAGCCCCGGCUAACUUCGUG